CUUCAUGGCGGCUGUGCGUGGGAGGUCCCUUUGGGGUCUGCCGGGGUCCGAUAUGCCCGGUCUUGCACACCUGCGCACGGCUGCCACCCUU
rnacentral:antisense_RNA from 1 species